GCCAGCAGCAUACCACCCUGCAUCCCACUGCUGGCUUGCUUCUGAAGCUAAGCAGGGUUGGUCCUAGUCAGGGCCCUGGAUGGGAGACCAGAUGCUGCUGGAA
ensembl:rRNA 5S_rRNA 5S ribosomal RNA